GUCACAAUGAUUUUUAUUCUUGUAUGAAUGGUCUUAUUGCUAUUGCUACAUUUAUUAUUUUGAAGUUUCAUUAAAUAGGUCUAUUAAAAAAAAAAACAAACAAAAGAACCCACCAACUUUUCAACUGCAAAAAAAAUUUCCAUAAAGCUGAGAUAUACAGCAGACACUCUCUCAAGAAUUACAUCAGGAGUAUCAGUACUGCCUUGACAUUAAUGAGCAUGUGUCACCUGGAGUUAGUUGCAUUACGAUCACUAAGACUGUACAUGAUGGUCUGUUAGCAGGAGAGGGAGUGUCCAUUAAGAGGCAGGCUAUCCAAUGUGUGAGAGGAGACUUGAUGACCCUUUCCCAUCUUCCCCUGCCAGAAGUUCUUCCAUGCUCUGAUGUUUGCUAGAAGGGCGUAGAGGACACUCUCCAGUUGCUACUGUACAAACAGAAUGCUGAAGGCCAUCACAACACAGCACACAGCCACGUAAGGGCUCUUCCGUUCACCUGAGAGGAGGAGAAAAACAAACACCAAACCAAACCAAAAUUCAGGCAUGACUAAGCAUACCUAGGCUGCUCCUAACCUAAUAUGGCAAUUACCCCAUUGCACCUGGAAGAAAUGCUAUUACAACUACAGUUGUAGGAAGAACAUGCAUGGGAGUGGAAAAACUAAGCUGUAGGAUAGAAUAUAUUUCAGUAAAAGACAGACUGGGAGCAAAGCUUUAAGCAAAGGUUGGAUACAAGGACUUCUAUCUUACUACAAACCAUGUUUUCUGAGAUGCAGUUUCCAGGAAAACAUUAAAAAGAAAAAAAGAAUAUAUUGCUGCUGUUUCUUAGUGCCAAAGAAAGUCAGGAGGCAGGCACUGGAAAGCUGAUCAAGACACCAAACCUUUAACUCGACCUGUUCCCACUUCUGGCUAAAGGCUAUCGCUGCUCAAAAGCUGUUCAGUGUCAGCUGAGGUGUACCUCAAUGGUCUCUGGCUAUAUGCACUGUGCAUCUUCUAUGCAUGGUAUCAUGCAAGAGCCAGCUAACUGUCUGGGGAGCUCACAGCUGCCCAGACAUGGCCAGAUGCCUGCCCUACUUCUUUGUUAGAGAGACAUAACAUUGUUAGCAUGUGGAGAGGGUCUGGUCCAGAGAUUUUCAGAUUAGUGAUAAAAACGGUCAACAGAUCAUAGAAGUUGCACAGACACCUCUAUUUCUGACUGUUUCAAAUGAGUGUCACAGUUUCUGGGGGCCGACUGUGGAUGAAAGUUAAAUUUACUCCAUUAACAGACUUGUAUUUGGUGGCAAAGGCACUCAAGAAAAGUAUAUUCCCACUCGUUUGGUCCAGAACAAAAUGUUACAGAGCUCCCUUGCUCUGCAAAUAAAUUAUGAAAAAAAAAACCAAACCCAAACCAAUUUUAAGUAGGCAACUCUAACACAAUCAGGGGAAUAUAGUAUUGUUAAUCAGACUGCUGUCUAUUUACAUGGGCAACUCCUCUAUUUAACUAUCCAGGUGUUUUUACUCUCCUACUUUACACUUUUACAUAUCCCUAGAAGUGUUCAAGGCCAGGUUGGACAGGGCUUGGAGCAACCUGAUCUAGUGGAAGGUGUCCCUGCCUGCGGCAGGGGGUUGGAACUGGAUGAGCUUUAAGGUCCCUUCCAACCCAAACCAGUCUGUGAGUCUAUGAUACUUCAGCAUUACUCUUCUUUAAUCCACUGACCUCUCUGGAGAGCAGAACCCCUGCACUGAAUGGUACUUCCAGUCUACAAAACAAGAAUGUCCUCAAUGUAAGAAGGACAUGGAGCUGUUGGAGCUAGUCCAGAGGAGGGCCACGAGGAUGAUCAGGCGGCUGGAGCACCUCCCAUAUAAAGACAGGCUGAGAACACUGAGGCUGUUCAGCCUGGAGAGGAGAAGGCUGCGUGGAGACCUCAUAGCAGCCUUCCAGUAUCUGAAGGGAGCCUACAAGAAUGCCGAAGAGGGACUCUUCAUCAGGGACUGCAGUAGGACAAGGGGGAAUGAGUUUAAACUGGGGAAGUUCAGGUUAGCUACCAGGAAGAAGUUCUUUACAGUGAGGGUGGUGAGGCACUGGCACAGGUUGCCCAAAGAAGUUUUGAAUGCUCCAUCCCUGGCGGUGUUCAAGGCAGGCUGGAUGAAGCCUUGGGCGACAUGGUCUACUGUGAGAUGUCCCUGCCUGUGGCAAUGGGUUAGAACUAGAUGAUCUAAAGGUGCUUUCCAACCCAAACCAUUCUGUGAUUCUACAAAAACUGCCAGGAGGUGUUAACACAGCAAUGACUCUUUAAAAUAAGAAGAUUCCUGGAUUUAUGUGUUCAGAAGCAUAAAGACAGCUGGUCCUGUUUAUUUAAAAAACCCCAAACUUCCAUUUCCUUUUGCUGUGCAAGGUCUUUUGUCCUACUAUAAACCAGCUUUUCUGAGACAGAGUUUUCAGAGAAAAACUGAUGAAAAAAACCUGCCAAGGCUCACCACCAGGAAUUUCAAAUACAGGAGGUACUAACUUUCCACAGCAAAAGAAAGUACUUGUAGUGGCACCUCCCAUACGCAGAAGUGCCUGCUGCAGUGACACUACAAGAUGUUGUCAUGAUCUAGCAUAUAUUUAAUUAAACUUCAAAUAACUGAAUGAAUUAAUGUCUACAGUUUCACAUCUGUUUAAAAUAAAUUUUUGAGGAAGUCCACCUCCUACAGUUUAGAGUAUUACAAUUUUCAUAUGGGUUAUACUUUCCUGCUCUUACUUUUCUUAAGAGAAACCACCAUGUGGCAGGAUUAAACAUCAUUUUGCACAACUUGGUAAAUAUGUAACCACUUGUUGGUUAUUAAAAUCUUAUGCACAUGUGAAAAGGUUGUUUAAACAUACUGGGCAAGUUAAAUGUAAAGAAAGUCAGUAGGCAUUUUCAUUUGUAAAAGCAUGCACUUUCUACAUGCAUUUGUGAUUAACACAAUAAAAUGAUGGGAAUCACCUUCAAAGCCCAUUUCCCAUACUGAGAAUACGGUACUGCUAAGUCUAGAAAUAUGUGGAAAGAAUGUAAGAAUGCUACCUUCUCCUCUGUCACUCAAAUUGGACCACUCUGAUGUAAGCUGAAAAGAAAUUAGUGUUUUACAUGAAGAGAAAAGGAUGCAGUUCAGUAUGGGGCACCAUAAUGCAUACAUUACCUUGGGUGCAGCAAAUGUAAACUUGUUAAUGUUACUACAUGAUGGGAAAACAAGACUGUUCCAGAUGAACUUCAGUUCUUAACUUUACCAAGUUGUCAGGGACCUCAUAAAACCUCUUUUAAAAAAAACUCUUUAAAAGUUUUUAAAGCAGUUUGCUGUGCAUAGCUAAUGAAAAAAAUAUGCUUUCAUAUUAAUAAAAAAAUAAAGUAAGCUAAGGUGUUCAACCUCGAACCAACCUUAAUGCAGCAGAAUUUUUAGUCUUCUCUUUUUUCCUGAUACAGCUCAAAAUUGAUUUCUGACAGCUACCGCCUUGCCAUUAUCUUUCAAUUACAAUACCAAAAAUUGGUUCUGCUAUGUCUAUUAUCUAAAUAGCAAAAUAUCUGCAAUCAUUUUAACAGGUCUUCACAAAACCUUGGGUUUUGUGUCAAUGCUUUCUGACAUACUGAAAAAUGUAUGUCAUGUCCCUUUCAAAGCCUGAGAACGCACAAGAGGGAACCAUACAUUUUUCCUUUAGGUUCAGUGACAAGUAGGAAGCUCUACAAUUACAAGUUCAAUGUUCCUGCUCUGCACUAACAAUACAAUUUGAAGAACAUUGUUUUGAUGAUGGAUUUGUCAAUUUUAAAAAAUCUUGGAUCUACCUUAAUGAUAAGAACAAACUUCUGUUGCAUAUUCCCAUUUCCUUCUCAAAAUAAAUUCAGAAUAAGGAUUUAAUAUAAAUAUAAGUAUUAUGGGAAAGUGUCUAAAAUCAGAGCUGAUCAGCCUGCCCAUAGAUGCCACUUGACACCAACAGCUUUGUGUAAUUCAAAAGCGCACAGAAGCUAACUAAAUGAGCGAAAAACAGAUAUUUGUGACUGAACAGAACCUUACUGCAUUAUGAAUUUCAUGUUGGUUAAUUACUACAAGGUUAAGUAUCUGGCUUUUGUCAGUAAUCCUUUAGAAUUUCAAAUAGACAGCAGUUUACAAGGAAUCACUUUUUUGAUUCCUUAUAAAUUUUUUUGAUUUUGGUUUCUUUGUAUGUUAGUAAGAAGUAUGCCCAUGGUUAUUUUGUGUAGUAAAACAUCCAAAAGAUUUUUGCAAUAACACCACAUACAUGAAUUGAUACUAGAAAAUGCGGGAUUCCAUGAUGCUAAGACAGUCAUACCCUACCUCCUCCCACCUUCACUAUAUUUCAUGGAGGUAAAACCUGCAUUUUUUAAGAUGCUGUAUGAUAUGGCUUUCCUUGCUACAAGGAAACACUAUCCUGAUAAGUAAUGCAUACUCUAGAAAAAGAACUAAAGAUUUCAAAGAAAAAGAAUUACCAAUCCUGGCGCAUUUCCAGAAUAUUCCCAACAGUCUUUUUAUUUUUGUCCAGUAAGCUGGGAGCCAAGGAUCUGAUAUAGGCACAGGUGCAUAUAAGCAGCAAGAUUACAGUCAGUAGACUCUGAAAGUUGAAGAUGGCAGAC
ensembl:lncRNA